CAGGGCUACACAGAGAAACCCUGUCUCGAAAAACCAAAACCAAAACAAACCCUUUGCAUCCAGAGGUGUAACUGUUCGUUUUACUUCAAACUCAUCCCUCUAGUUUGUUCUCUGAGGUCUCAGACCAAAGUGGCCUUCCCUUGGUUCGGUAGUGAGCACAUUCUUUCCCUCGUCAGUUUCUACAAACUGAUGAUAUCCAACACUCAGAUUUACAUCUUUCACAUCUCCCGGCUGCACUUAUAUCACACCACUGCCAUCUCCGUUGGUUUUUCUUCCUUGGUGUUAGCCGUGACGGAACCCAGGGCCUGAUGCAUAUUAGGUAAGUGUUUCACCAUGAGCUGUACCCCCUGUCCUAAUCACAUACUACAUUUAAUCGCCAAUUUGAUAACUUCUCCAUUACUGUAUUCACCCCCAACCCCACCCCAAUCAACUGCCUUUCUCCAUGGUUCCUAGGCUCUUCAGUGGCCCAAGGUUUGUGUCUGCUUCCGUUUGAAUGUGUUUCCCAAGAAUGCAUGUACAAUUCAAUCCCCACUGGGUCAAUACUGAAAAGUGGUUUUGUGUGUAUGUGUGUUUAUGUGGAUGCACACAGGUGCCUUAGCACCCAGGUAGAGAUGAGAGGACAACUUGCUGGAGGAAAUCUGUCCUUCACCACGUGGAUCCUGGGAAUCAAACUCGAGUCUUCAAGCUUGGCAGCAGGCAGCUUUUACCCAUCACCGCCAUCUUGCCAACUGGCAAACAGAACUUUCUGUUGUUUGCUUGUUUCCCGGCUAGGUGUCACUCUAUUGCUCUGGCCUAGAACUGUAGACCACAUAGGCCUUUGGACUCACAGAGAUCUGCCUGCCUUUGCCUCCCAAGAGCUGGGAAUAAAGGCGCUUGUGUCUUAAUCA